rnacentral:tRNA from 1 species
UGGGAAGUAGCAUAAGAAGUGUAUUUUGUUUACGCCAAAAUGGUAGUUAAGUCACUCUUCCUAU